CGGUCCUGGCCGAGGAGUACGGCGUCCCCGCUCCCGAGGUGGGUGGUCUGGGCGAGGCCGUUCACGAGGCCGGCGUUCGGGUCGAAGAUGCCCGUCCA
rnacentral:tRNA from 1 species